rnacentral:rRNA from 1 species
AUUGAACGCUGGCGGCAGGCCUAACACAUGCAAGUCGAACGAGUGGCGGACGGGUGAGUAAUGUCUGGGAAACUGCCCGAUGGAGGGGGAUAACUACUGGAAACGGUAGCUAAUACCGCAUACCAUCGGCUGUGCCCCGAUGGGAUUAGCUAGUGGGUUGGGUAACGGCUCGCCUAGGCGACGGUCCCUAGCUGGUUUGCGAGGAUGAACAGCCACCCUGGAACUGAGUCACGGUCCAUACUCCUACGGGAGGCAGCAGUGGGGAAUAUUGCUCGAGGGGCGCAAGCCGGAUGCCGCCUGGCCGCGUGUAUGAAGAGUGCUGUCGAGUUGUAAACUACUUUCAGCGAGGAGGCGUUACUCGCAGCGGAAGCACCUUCUAACUCCUGGCCAGCCGCCGCGGUAAUAC